rnacentral:tRNA from 7 species
GCGGCCGUAGCUCAGCGGGAGAGCGCCCGGCUGAAGACCGGGCGGUCCCGGGUUCAAAUCCCGGCGGCCGCACCA